UGGGGAAUCUUGCGCAAUGGGCGAAAGCCUGACGCAGCCACGCCGCGUGAGUGAAGAAGGCCUUCGGGUUGUAAAGCUCUGUCGCCCGGGACGAAAAUACUUGGGGUUAACAGCCUCAGGGACUGACGGUACCGGGAGAGGAAGCACCGGCUAACUUCGUGCCAGCAGCCGCGGUAAUACGAGGGGUGCAAGCGUUGCUCGGAAUUAUUGGGCGUAAAGGGUAGGUAGGUGGUCUCAUUUGUCUGGGGUGAAAUCCUUGAGCUUAACUCAAGAAGUGCCCCAGAAACGGUGAGACUCGAGUACUGGAGAGGGUCGUGGAAUUCCCGGUGUAGCGGUGAAAUGCGUAGAGAUCGGGAGGAACACCAGAGGCGAAGGCGGCGACCUGGACAGUGACUGACACUCAACGACGAAAGCGUGGGGAGCAAACAG
rnacentral:rRNA from 1 species